rnacentral:rRNA from 1 species
GGAGCUCUCCCAUAUGGUCGACCUGCAGGCGGCCGCGAAUUCACUAGUGAUUGUUUGAUCCUGGCUCAGGAUGAACGCUAGCGACAGGCCUAACACAUGCAAGUCGAGGGGUAUAAGUAGCUUGCUACUUAGAGACCGGCGCACGGGUGAGUAACGCGUAUGCAACCUACCUUUUACUGGGGGAUAGCCCAAAGAAAUUUGGAUUAAUACCGCAUAACAUAUUUGAAUCGCAUGGUUUGAAUAUUAAAACUUCGGUGGUAAAAGAUGGGCAUGCGUAGCAUUAGUUAGUUGGUGAGGUAACGGCUCACCAAGACUAUGAUGCUUAGGGGGUCUGAGAGGAUAGUCCCCCACACUGGUACUGAGACACGGACCAGACUCCUACGGGAGGCAGCAGUGAGGAAUAUUGGUCAAUGGGCGCAAGCCUGAACCAGCCAUGUCGCGUGCAGGAUGACGGCCCUAUGGGUUGUAAACUGCUUUUUUACAGGAAUAAACUUUGUUACGUGUAGCAAACUGAAGGUACUGUAAGAAUAAGGAUCGGCUAACUCCGUGCCAGCAGCCGCGGUAAUACGGAGGAUCCAAGCGUUAUCCGGAUUUAUUGGGUUUAAAGGGUCCGUAGGCGGGCUUUUAAGUCAGUGGUGAAAUCCCAGAGCUCAACUCUGGAACUGCCAUUGAUACUGAAGGUCUUGAAUUUAGUUGAGGUGGGCGGAAUACGUUAUGUAGCGGUGAAAUGCAUAGAUAUAACGUAGAACACCGAUUGCGAAGGCAGCUCACUAAGCUAACAUUGACGCUGAUGGACGAAAGCGUGGGGAGCGAACAGGAUUAGAUACCCUGGUAGUCCACGCCGUAAACGAUGAUUACUCGUUGUGCACGAUACACUGUGCGUGACUGAGCGAAAGCAUUAAGUAAUCCACCUGGGGGAGUACGUUCGCAAGAAUGAAACUCAAGG